GCAAACUUGGUCAUUUAGAGGAAGUAAAAGUCGUAACAAGGUUUCCGUAGGUGAACCUGCGGAAGGAUCAUUAUUGAAUAAACUCACUUGAUGGGUUGUCGCUGGCCUUUCGAGGCAUGUGCACGCCUGUCUUGACUCUAUUCAUCCACCUGUGCACCAAUUGUAGUCUUUUUUUCCCUUCAGAGGGUCAAGAAAGCAAGGCUAAAUUGUUCAGUUGAAAGACACUGGAUUUGAGGAUUGCUUAUGACUUUUCUCUUUUGCCUUUGUGAAAUUGUACCUUCUUGGAAAUCAAAAGACUAUGUAUUUCAUCAUAAACCAUUGUAGUAUGUUGCCAGUAUGUAAACUUGUGGGCCUUGUGCCCCUAAAAACAUUAUACAACUUUCAGCAACGGAUCUCUUGGCUCUCGCAUCGAUGAAGAACGCAGC
rnacentral:misc_RNA from 1 species